UACGUAGGGGUCUAGCGUUGUCCGGAAUUAUUGGGCGUAAAGAGCUCGUAGGCGGUUCGGCAAGUCGGAUGUGAAAUCUCCACGCUUAACGUGGAGGGGCCAUUCGAAACUGCCGUGACUCGAGUCCGGUAGGGGAGUGCGGAAUUCCCGGUGUAGCGGUGAAAUGCGCAGAUAUCAGGAGGAACACCGGUGGCGAAGGCGGAUCUCUGGGCCUUACCUGACGCUGAGGCGCGAAAGCUAGGGGAGCGAACAGG
rnacentral:rRNA from 1 species